rnacentral:miRNA from 1 species
AAGAACACUAGAACCAUCUCC